UGAUCCUGGCUCAGAUUGAACGCUGGCGGUAGGCUUAACACAUGCAAGUCGUGCGAGAAAGUAUCUUCGGAUAUGAGUAGAGCGGCGGACGGGUGAGUAACGCGUAGGAAUCUACCUAGUAGAAGGGGAUAGCCCGAGGAAACUCGGAUUAAUACCGUAUACCUCCUUCGGGAGAAAGAAGGCCUCUCAUUGAAGCUUUCGCUACUAGAUGAGCCUGCGUAAGAUUAGCUUGUUAGUGAGGUAAAGGCUCACCAAGGCAACGAUCUUUAGCGGGUCUGAGAGGACGAUCCGCCACAUUGGGACUGAGACACGGCCCAGACUCCUACGGGAGGCAGCAGUGGGGAAUAUUGGACAAUGGGCGCAAGCCUGAUCCAGCCAUACCGCGUGUGUGAAGAAGGCCCUAGGGUUGUAAAGCACUUUAAGUUGGGAAGAAAAGUUAUUGGCUAAUACCCAAUGACCGUGACAUUACCUUCAGAAUAAGGACCGGCUAAUUCCGUGCCAGCAGCCGCGGUAAUACGGAAGGUCCAAGCGUUAAUCGGAAUUACUGGGCGUAAAGCGCGCGUAGGUGGUUUAUUAAGUUGGAUGUGAAAUCCCCGGGCUCAACCUGGGAACUGCAUCCAAAACUGAUUCACUAGAGUACGAUAGAGGGAGGUAGAAUUCACAGUGUAGCGGUGGAAUGCGUAGAUAUUGUGAAGAAUACCAAUGGCGAAGGCAGCCUCCUGGAUCUGUACUGACACUGAGGUGCGAAAGCGUGGGUAGCGAACAGGAUUAGAUACCCUGGUAGU
rnacentral:rRNA from 1 species